AGAGUUUGAUCAUGGCUCAGAUUGAACGCUGGCGGAAUGCUUUACACAUGCAAGUCGAACGGCAGCACGGGAGCUUGCUCCUGGUGGCGAGUGGCGAACGGGUGAGUAAUGCGUCGGAACGUACCGAGUAAUGGGGGAUAACGCAGCGAAAGCUGUGCUAAUACCGCAUACGCCCUGAGGGGGAAAGUGGGGGAUCGCAAGACCUCACGUUAUUCGAGCGGCCGACGUCUGAUUAGCUAGUUGGUGGGGUAAAGGCUCACCAAGGCGACGAUCAGUAGCGGGUCUGAGAGGAUGAUCCGUCACACUGGAACUGAGACACGGUCCAGACUCCUACGGGAGGCAGCAGUGGGGAAUUUUGGACAAUGGGGGCAACCCCGAUCCAGCCAUUCCGCGUGAGUGAAGAAGGCCUUCGGGUUGUAAAGCUCUUUCAGCCGGAACGAAACGGUACGCACUAAUAUUGUGUGCUAAUGACGGUACCGGCAGAAGAAGCACCGGCUAACUACGUGCCAGCAGCCGCGGUAAUACGUAGGGUGCGAGCGUUAAUCGGAAUUACUGGGCGUAAAGCGUGCGCAGGCGGAUUGUUAAGCAAGAUGUGAAAUCCCCGGGCUUAACCUGGGAAUGGCAUUUUGAACUGGCAGUCUAGAGUGUGUCAGAGGGGGGUGGAAUUCCACGUGUAGCAGUGAAAUGCGUAGAUAUGUGGAGGAACACCAAUGGCGAAGGCAGCCCCCUGGGAUAACACUGACGCUCAUGUACGAAAGCGUGGGUAGCAAACAGGAUUAGAUACCCUGGUAGUCCACGCCCUAAACGAUGUCAACUGGUUGUUGGGGGAGUGAAAUCCCUUAGUAACGAAGCUAACGCGUGAAGUUGACCGCCUGGGGAGUACGGUCGCAAGAUUAAAACUCAAA
rnacentral:rRNA from 1 species